ACAGAUGCUUCCUAUGUUCCUCUGUAUGCUUGUACAGCUGUUUCGAGCUAACUAGGUUUUUAGAGGCUCUAAUUUAAGUUAAUUUUGCCUAUCUGGUCAACCCUAGCCCCCCUCCGGAAUUCGGUGGGUAGCCUAGCAGAGAAAACGGCAGGUGAAAAGGCUGCACACCGUGGCAGUCGGUUGGUUUCCACUGGUGAUGAAUAAAUAACGGGACAAAAGCAGCGUCGCGUCUGUCGCACAUAUCACAGCUGCUGUAUCGGCUGCAGACGAGAGGAGAAAGCCAUCCGACAGCAGCAACCAACUCUAUCAUCUCCACUAGAGGGAGGGCUAUCUCACAACAAGGCCACCAAGGAGCUGCAUCUGAGGGUCAGCAUGUGGUGAGUCAGUAGAAGCGAGCCAGCGAGCGCCUGAUCUCCGAGCGAGGCUUGUCAGCGUGGUCCUGAGUGGGCUGUGUGGAGCUUCUGUCAGAGAGUGUCACAUUUCCACGGCCCACACUGUGGCUCCUCUGUCCUCCUCAUGGCUGCAGCUCAAUGGGUCCUUUGAUGGGCCAACCCGAGGCCUUUCAUCAUCCAUCUCGCCACGGGGCACGGGGGCCAUGGGGGGUUGUGCCUCACAACACCUGGCAGAACGGAAAAGAACACGAUGAUGAGGGGCAGCGCUCAGACAUGGGGCAGUCACCAGACUGCUUCAAAGUCUGUUGACUGAAUUAUCUCCGGACGGUAAGAGAGAAAGGAAACAACUGUCGUCAGCUCUCAGUCAGCCGGGGAGAAACUCGUCCCUGACAGCCGGUUGGUUAACCGGUCUUUACAGCCUAAUCCUGUGGUGGAGGCAUGGGAGCAGGGAGAGACAGCACAGCGUGAGGACACAUCAGCGUCUGCACACAGACAAAUGGCCUCAGUGUUUGCUUUCGGGGAGAGCGGUGUCACGAGAUAGUGGAUCUUCGUAGCGAGAGCGGAAGCUGAAGUCUCAGGUUUGAGUGGCCACAGAGAGCACAUGACUGAGGUGUUGAGAGGAAAGGUGUGGUGGCCGGGCCCUGCGGGAAGACAGAGGAGAAGAAAGAACAAGUGCUGCACAGCGGGAUGAGUGGAGGCUAUUGAACUCAGAACACCUGUGUUCACUGAUCAAAGGGAUUAUUGGUGUCUUGGGGCUUUGUUGCACCAGCCAUGUUGUUUCCAUAAUCACAGUUGCGCUCAGAGUGUCGAAGUUGAGCAAAGCAAAUCAGUUUUUAAAUCAACAUCACCAGUCAGCAUGAACGUUUUUCUACCAUGUGAUCUGGGACUAAAUACAGUACGGCCUGAUAAAUAAAGGUGGUUUAAAGGCGCCCAAGUCCUCCACAUUCACAUAGAUGUCCCCUCUGGCCUCGUAGUCUGUCUUGGCUCUCUGGCACACAAGGUCAUCCCCUAGCCAGUCACGACACUCCAAUUAAGGCAACUGAUGGACGCAGCUAAUUGCUAGGAUUUAUAACCUCCUUUUAUUAUGCUUUAUGAGGAAGGCAAGUGGAGGGCAUUACCAUUUAUAGGCCCCAGGCUCUAUGCUGGAUCACUGUCAUCCACUAGUGUCCAGCCUGACAACAGAAUAUCGAACAAGCAUGAGUAGCUGGAGCUGAGAUGUGUAGGUGUCUAUUCAGCACUUUCAGUUUGGGCUUUUAAUGUGAUGUUUUGGUAGAAACAAAAAGUAAGUGAAAAGACAGAAAGAUUAAAAUAGAGUUUGAAAAGGGGAGUUAAAGACUGGGUGAAACACAGAGAGAGGCUCCAUGGAGCAGGCAGGAGGAGAAGGCAGGCAAGCCUCCCAUAAUGAGUGUGUGGUUAUUGAUUGUAUUGUAAGGGUGGCUGACCAGGGUCCCGUGUGCUAUGGGGCCCAGUCCAUCUGUGGACAAUGCAGUCAGUUACACCUCACUGCUUCGUCUAAUAAAGAACAGGCAGAUUGAUGUCACCAGUAUGGUUGAACUCUACCUAACACUCACCAGCACCACACACACACACACAUGUGAAGCAGUACUGCAGCACGGUCAUGAAAUAGGAAAAUAAUUUUUAUUUAGUUUUCUGGCAGAGAAAUUAUAUAACCUGUGAUUUCAGUUGAUACAUAUUCAAAUACAUAACAGAGAGCUGCAACUAAUGAUUGUGGUCAUUAUGAAUUAAUAUGUCAGCUAUCUGAAAAUUUCCUUAUUCAUUGUUUAGUCCAGGAGUGUCAAACAUAAGGCCCAGGGGCCAGAAUUGGCCUGGCAAAGACCCCAGUCUGGUCCAGUGCACAGCUGAUUGAGGUUAUGAAUGGAUUUAGACUUGUAGCUGUGUCUUUGUAAGUUUUACAGAUUUUUUUCUAAUUACAAUUAUUAAUUUGCAGAAAGUUUAUAUUUCAUAAUAUCAGGACAUUUUGGGCAAGGCUGAGCUAUAGUUUAACACAUUUAUCCUGUAGUUUCACUGGCUUGGCCCACUUAAGAUCAAAGUGGGCUGUGUGGGGCCCAUAAUGUAAAAUGAGUUUGACAUCCCUGGCUUAGUCUUUAAAAUCUCAUAAAACACUGAAAUGUUCUGACAGUGGUUAAAAGUGACAUCCAAAAAUAAUUUUAAUUUAAUUUUAACAGGAGCUAUGGAAAAAUGGCGAUGAGUGUUUUUCAUGUGAAUUUCAGCAAAUAUUCCCAGUAAUUAUUAUACAGUAUUUUUUUUAGUAAAAUACAAAAAAAAAGAAGUAUGCUCACCCAGUGUGGGAAAACUUAGCACACGGAAUUCACUGCUUCCAGCACUGACCAACAUUUCCGUGCUGCUGGCAUUCCCAGCUAAUGCACUGGCAGCAUAUCAGGUCAGGACCCUUGUAUAAAUGCUAGAACAAUUGCAGCCCUAAUGAAGUCUGUGUUCUGCUGGUUAAAGUUCUCCUUUUAGAGGAAGUCAGCGCUUCCACCUGAACAUCUGGCUGUGCUCGAGCCCGCGUAGCCUCGGUGGCAGAAGCACGAGCGAUUACCCCUGCGCAGCCAGCCAAAACACAAAAAUCAAUAAACAAUCUCAACGUUUCUGAGGGCCUUUCGUCUGACUUAAUAAAUGUCUCAAUCCACUCUUAUGACUUCAUUUUGCUUUAACGUCUUCUUCAUGUGCAUCUUUUGCUGAUCAAUUAGAGAAUGGAGUGCCCCUUCUGUCACGACACCUGCCACCUGCCCUCCAUUCAAUGCUGCACACACACACACACGUGUCACAUGGCCACGAGGCACAAGGUGAACUGCUAUUUUAAUCCUUGAAAUAAGAUACCUUUUGAAAGCACUUCGUUAAAUGGCUCAUUAGAGGAUAGGUCACGCACUUCUUCCAGGUUUUUCUAUAUACAGUAUCAUGUGUUCAGUAAUUUUAUCUUGACCUAAGAGUUUUUUCAUCUAUACAUGCAGACUUUAGAAGCCCAGCACAUUUCCUUCCUUUAAAGCAUUGUGUUGCUUGAGUCCGGCCACUUAAUGAGACAUAUAUGUAGUCCUAAGUGUGCGGGAGAGGCACCAUUUCCAGGCUGUCAGGGCCGAUGAUGACCGCAGCAUCUUUCUCUCAGGAUGCCUCUGCUGUCACAGGCCCUAAUCCCGGAGCUGCAGGGAUGACAGGUGACUGGUGCCAGAGCCCCCUGGUCUGUGACUAGAAACUCCUGGAGAAUUUGACGCACACCCCCUUCUCUUGUCUCCCAUUGAUUCUGCCACUUCCCAUUAUUGUCAAUCAGAGCAGCAUCAUCUCCAUCGGGGGAGAGGUGCAAGUAGGCGAUUGCCAGGGCAGUGGGGUGCGAAGAGGAGCGUGCAGCACGCCUGCAAGCUACUACGCCAGUGCAAGAGGGGUGGGGGGUGCUUCUCAAGGGGCUGCCUGGGCAGUAUGCCACAACUAAAACGGAGACCUUUUGCUCUACAGCACACAGUGCACACAAUCGAGAAGCACAAAAGGGUGAAACCUCUCGAGCAGUUUAGCGUCGAGAAAAGGAGCAGCUGAGGCUCUGGCUGAAAAGUUUCACAGGGCUGUCAGUGGGGAAAGCAAUGCUUCUCUCUCAGAUGUGACUGCCUUGUUAGAAAAAUGACAUAAAAACAAUGACAGGAGUAAUGGAAGAGAGGUGAAGCAUUGUUUCCAGAGGGGUUCAAACGGGUUUUGGAAGGUAGCUGCUUUGUCAGUAAGCUUCC